GCACUGCCCUAUUUGAGGCACUGUAUAUAUUUUUGCACCAUCAUCCAGGCAUUUUACAAACAGUGAUCCCCCCUCCCCCUUAAAUGUGACUAACUGCAUCUGUAUAAUUUAUAUUUAAUUAUAAAUGAAGCCAUUUAUUAAACUAAAUACAUACAUUAGGGGUGUGACUCUUUUAUUAAUACAUUAGCCUGAAACAUUUUCUCAAGCAGCACAAAGUUUAACACUCUUAACAUGUUGUACUUUCUUUUGUUUUUGUUUUUAGUUGAGGUGGCAAAGCUAAAGGUGGAAAUCAAAUUCCUACAUGAUGAAUGCACAGUUUUGAAGGAACAUGUGGACAAAUUAACAUCUGUUCCUGACAUGGCUGCAGGUCCUUCAGGAUGGAGAGGGGCAGAAGAUUCCGCAUCCUGCUUUCUGAUAGAUGAAAAAAAGGAAAAGCACAAGAAGAAGAAGAUCAAGAAAAACAAAAAAUAUAACAUUUUACCUAAAAGAAAUGUAUAAUCAAUAAUGUAAAUAAAUAAAUAAAUAAGUUUAAUGUUA